UGGAGCAUUUCCCCCAGGUUUGCCAAACAGUCUGGCCUACUUGUGGAGCCCUUACUACGGGCACAGCACUGUACUGAGCGCUUGGGUCACAAAGACGCCGGGACGGGAUCGGGAGACUCACCUUCAAGACCUCCUUGGGGAACACAGUUCAGAGCAUUAGUCCCACGGAAGUGGGGGUAAUCGCUGGAGCUCCUCUGCUGGUCCUGCCGGAUCCAAGUCGGAAACCUCGGAAGGCAUCCCUGGAUUAGCGUUCCCAGACUUCUGGGUUUCUCACCGUGCCCUCUAUCGACAGCAGAGGACCACAUCUAAACUCUAAUAUCUCCAGGAGAAUCAUGAGUCUCAAAGGUGAAGAAAGAGAAGGCUUGAACAGUUGCAGACCACCUUCCUUUUUUUUAGGGGGGUGGUUUAUUUUAUGGACGCUUUUCCCCCUCCUCCCAUACGAUAACCCCCACACCAGGAGAGGUGAGGUAUACAGACAGACCUUCACACUUAAUAUGAAGGCAUCCCUCUCGCCUGCUAACACGUAAACACUCCCUGCGACAAUCUCAAAAUCUGUUAGUCCAUGAAGGUCUUGUAGGCUGGGCCUGGAGAUCCAACUUGAGUGUGGACUGGACAGAAUUCAGUUCCGAGUACGUCUGCCUUCCAAGCUCCCUAACUGCAUCUAUGACAACUCAAUCUCAGAACUCUGCUUUUCAGAGAGAGAGAGAGAGAAAAGAGAGGGAGACAGUCGACACUGACAGUCUUCUCGCCUGACUCUCACACUAGACACUCAGAAGCUAUUACUGGCAGGCCCAGACAGGUCCCUUCUCCAGGGGCUGAAGAUACGCAGGAUGACCCUCCAGACAAGACCGUGGGCACAGGGAGGUUUGACCCAUCUGUAGAAUUAAGGUCCCCAGGUCCCCCAGUUGAGUCAGGCAGAGACAGUUCCCUGAACAGAGCCCUAGCCCCUGAUUCCAGAACCAGGCUUGGUGCCAAGAAUGGUAUCCUCCACUUCACUAUUUCUGCCCCAAAGGUCAUCCCAUUACUCUCUCUCUUUAUCAAAUGCACACGCGCAUGCACACACCCCCCCCCCCCCCGCCACCCUCCCACCCCCAUUCCAAAUAAAUAAAAAGCCUUUUCUUUCUGUUGGCAACAGAAAGAACCACAGUUGUUCUUGGACCACAACUGUGGACAGUUGGACUACAGUUCAAUCAGUCAGUAGUCGGGCAAGACCAUGAAUGGGGUUGAUUGUGCCUACCCUGUCAGGAGAUAGUCCUCAAGGUCACAGCAAUAUGUUGAGCAGCAUCAGUUAGGAGAGAAAUAGGCAGUCAGAUUCCUUCCUUGGUCAAUCUACCCUAAACUGGGUUUUGUAGGGCGCCUUUCGUGUAUGAGCCAGCAAAAGUGUGGAAAUGGGAAUUGUGUGUGUGUUUUGGGGUGGGGGGGCAGGGCAGGAGAGGAGAAAAAAGAGCCUGGAGAUUCACACCCAUGAAGCCGCUUCUGGGUACAGGGCAGAGAAGCUCUGAUGGAAGUGAGGAGUAAUUGGAGCUCUUCCACACAUCCUGCCUGAAACCCACUGGGGUUUGAGGAACCUGUCCUUGGAAGGCACACGAGGAUAAGUGAGCCUGAGGGGCCCAAUUCCCCCGAUCCUGCUUUCCUAUGUCUUCGUCCAUUGCCAAAUUCUUUGGUCUCCAGGAUAAUAAAUU